AGAGUUUGAUCAUGGCUCAGAUUGAACGCUGGCGGCAUGCUUUACACAUGCAAGUCGCACGGGAUAGGGGCAACUCUAUUUAGUGGCGAACGGGUGAGUAAUACAUCGGAACGUACCCUGUAGUGGGGGAUAACUAGUCGAAAGAUUAGCUAAUACCGCAUAUUCUCUGAGGAGGAAAGCGGGGGACCGCAAGGCCUCGCGCUAUAGGAGCGGCCGAUGUCCGAUUAGCUUGUUGGUGAGGUAAAGGCUCACCAAGGCUGCGAUCGGUAGCUGGUUUGAGAGAAUGAUCAGCCACACUGGGACUGAGACACGGCCCAGACUCCUACGGGAGGCAGCAGUGGGGAAUUUUGGACAAUGGGGGCAACCCUGAUCCAGCCAUGCCGCGUGAGUGAAGAAGGCCUUCGGGUUGUAAAGCUCUUUCGGUCGGAGAGAAAGCCUGCCCAUGAAUAGUGGGUGGGGUUGACGGUACCGGCAGAAGAAGCACCGGCUAACUACGUGCCAGCAGCCGCGGUAAUACGUAGGGUGCGAGCGUUAAUCGGAAUUACUGGGCGUAAAGCGUGCGCAGGCGGUUUGCUAAGCUUGAUGUGAAAGCCCCGGGCUUAACCUGGGAAUGGCAUUGAGGACUGGCAGGCUAGAGUGUGGCAGAGGGGGGUGGAAUUCCACGUGUAGCGUGAAAUGCGUAGAGAUGUGGAGGAACACCGAUGGCGAAGGCAGCCCCCUGGGCUAACACUGACGCUCAGGCACGAAAGCGUGGGGAGCAAACAGGAUUAGAUACCCUAGUAGUCC
rnacentral:rRNA from 1 species